UACGUAGGGAGCAAGCGUUGUUCGGAUUUACUGGGCGUAAAGGGCGCGUAGGCGGCUUAACAAGUCACUUGUGAAAUCUCCGGGCUUAACUCGGAACGGCCAAGUGAAACUGUCAAGCUAGAGUGCAGAAGGGGCAAUCGGAAUUCUUGGUGUAGCGGUGAAAUGCGUAGAUAUCAAGAGGAACACCUGAGGUGAAGACGGGUUGCUGGGCUGACACUGACGCUGAGGCGCGAAAGCCAGGGGAGCAAACGGG
rnacentral:rRNA from 1 species